rnacentral:rRNA from 1 species
CAGUCGCCGCGGUAAAACAGAGGGUGCAAGCGUUAAUCGGAAUUACUGGGCGUAAAGCGCGCGUAGGUGGUUUGUUAAGUUGGAUGUGAAAUCCCCGGGCUCAACCUGGGAACUGCAUCCAAAACUGGCAAGCUAGAGUAUGGUAGAGGGUGGUGGAAUUUCCUGUGUAGCGGUGAAAUGCGUAGAUAUAGGAAGGAACACCAGUGGCGAAGGCGACCACCUGGACUGAUACUGACACUGAGGUGCGAAAGCGUGGGGAGCAAACAGGAUUAGAUACCCCCGUAGUCCCUGUCUCUUAUAC